rnacentral:rRNA from 1 species
UCGGGAAUUUUGGGCAAUGGGCGAAAGCCUGACACAGCAACGCCGCGUGAAGGAUGAAGUCCCUCGGGAUGUAAACUUCGUAAGAAUAGGAAGAAUAAAUGACGGUACUAUUUGUAAGGUCCGGCUAACUACGUGCCAGCAGCCGCGGUAAUACGUAGGGACCAAGCGUUGUUCGGAUUUACUGGGCGUAAAGGGUGCGUAGGCGGCAUAUCAAGUCACUUGUGAAAUCUCCGGGCUUAACUCGGAACUGCCAAGUGAUACUGAUGUGCUAGAGUGCAGAAAGGGCAACUGGAAUUCUUGGUGUAGCGGUGAAAUGCGUAGAUAUCAAGAGGAACACCUGAGGCGAAGGCGAGUUGCUAGGCUGACACUGACGCUGAGGUACGAAAGCUAGGGGAGCGAACGGGAUUAGAUACCCUAGUAGUCCCUGAGCGGGCUGGCAAGGCGCAU